GGGAGAGAGAGAGAGAGAGAGAGAGACGAUUUUUGUUUCCGUAUCGCAUUCAAUCGAGGAUCCGUAGCGCAAAUUUGUAUUCAAAUGCACGGGGGAGAGGGCACCUGGGUCACAGUCGGUGAAUGCCGCACUCAUGCAAUUGUUUACGUAGCGCACAAAUCCUCACAAAUCCCAUGGGACGCCACAUAGGCAACUCGCUAGACGCGCCCUCUCCGGGCGCUCGCUGUCAUGUCGUGUGAGCGUCAUUCGAAUCUACAGCGCGAAUAUCUACCUGGCUUGAGUUGAGAUUUUUCUCUUCCAGUGCUGGUUACAACAUUUCUUCAGACCGGGGGAGCAAGCUAAUUGUUGAGCUAGUCAUUGGAGGAGAAAGAUCACCCGUUGCCUCUGAAGAGAAAGUACAAGAUGGUUCAACCGUCGCGCAAACAAGGCUGUCCAGCUGCAAACGACAUAAAGGAAGUUAUAAGAUUUCCUGACUUCAAGAGUCUACAUGGCAUGCAGAUCAGAGAAAAUUGGAGACCUAGCUAGCUGGAACGUCAUGGAAGGUUGGCAAGCUCCAGUCUGCCAGGCAAGAAGAUGGACAUUCCUGUGGGGCAUUUGUCAUGUUGAAUGCUCUUGUUAUUACAAGAGGGAUUGAUCCUCGAAACGUUGAGAAAUAUGCCAGAAACAUGGAGUUAAUGUCAAACUGACCACCAACGCUGUGCCCCCACCUAACCAGCGGAAAACCUGCGACAUGGUUCAGUGUCUGGUGGCCCAUUCAGAGAAACCACCGACCAGCAGUGCGACGUUUGUGGUCGCUGGCUCCAUCUGUACUGUGUCUCAAUCAGUGAGGCACCAGGGGAAGGUAUUGUUGCGCCCACUAUGCAUAGUCAUUGUGAGUGAUGGAAAGCGUAUGGUGAGACUGCACAACUUCACUUUAAGUAAAAUUACCAUCAUGUUCCAUGUAUUAUGUUCCAUCGUAACCUUAUCUGCACUUAUAGGGCUAGGCAGCAUCCAUUUUUCUCCUUAUCUCCUAUCACACCUUGUGUGUUAUGUUGUAUGUGACCUAAACAUCUUGUUACUACAGUUUUCAUCAAAUCUGGCUCUUUGAUUAGAUUGCAAAUUAACAUGAUAAUAGUUUAAAUGAGAUCCAAUGUCACAGAUAAAGAAUGUCAAAAUCUUUUAUAGGAAUAAGAUGACUAAUGAAUGUUCAACUAUCCUGCCUCCAGAGGAAAACCAAUGAAUGCCAUGGGGGAAAAAAGUUUUAAAGUUUCUAUCUGUGAGUGUUGAACCCACCUACAUGUAGUUAUCACUUUGGAUUGUGCAUUGUUUGUGCGCUUGUAGUAAACAUGAAGGUACACUGUAUGCACGAAACGUUCAGUGUUCCCCAAACUAUGAUAAAAUAUUCAUGUACUGUCUGGUGACAUGCAAACUUUGUUAUGCUGCAAAGAAGAGAUGAUGAAAACAGCGUAGGUAGAUGUAUGGGGAGAUGUUGAUCUUUGCCGUCCAAACGUGUGAAAAGUGGCUUUUCUAACUAGCUUAUAUACCUAAUGUCGCUGAGAGUUCUGAAUCCGCCAUACUGAGCUUUGACAGCCGACCCUACCCACAAUACUAAUGUUACUCAGAAUUAUGGACGUCUGUAAUUAUGAACAAUUUUUUUUAAAUGAAUGGGUCUUUCCAAAGAAAAUGUUACGGUAUAAUACUGUAUAGUUGUGCAUGCAGUUAUGGUAGUGUCGAGGCACAAAAUAAAACUUUUGCCUUUUCUUUCUGCCCCGUGUUGCCAAGUGAGGGAAAUUUGACAGGUCAAUUGUCUUGGGCAGUGAUCUUAAGAAUAUUUACAAAGAAAUAUUUUUUAUUUGUGUUUCAAGGCAGCAUGUGCCUUAAUAAAUUAAAUCAAACAAUAGAGAAAUGUGAUAAUUGAUAGACAGUAUUAUAGAGUGACAUGUCUCCAUAUUUGUAAAUAUAUAUUGAACUCUAUUCGGUACAUUAGCCGGACAUACAAAAAUAUGGUGCAGAAGCAGGACCCUUAAAUUGAAAUUUGAUUUAUAUUUUGCUCAUCCCUAGCUUUGAUGUUGAGGAUUGAUGUCCAAAACACUUUGUUUAAUCAUAAAAGAGAAAUUUCGAUACAAAUUUUUAUGCAGCCAUUGAUCAAUCGGCUCAGUGCCAAUUACUUACAAUGCAGGUUUUAACAACAAGAAUCAACUUUUUUUGUUUUUUGUUUUAGAAUUGAAGAAAAAAGUAAAAAUAGGUUUUAACUUAUUUGUUAUUAUUGUUGUGAAAUACUAGAUAUUGGCCACUUUAUAUUUUAUAUUGUCAGACUGGGCUAUAAUUAUGUUUACCGAGGUCAAUUGCUUUAAAAAGUUAAAUUUAUACAAUCCAAUACUUUGGUAUCCAAUCUUUGAAAGAAAAUAACUUUUAAUUAAAAACUAGUUCUGUGGUAAAGCACAUUCUAUUUUUUAUCAAUCCGAUUUUUAUCCAGUGUAAAUUUAAGUUGAUAGAGAAGUUAUCUCACAUAAUCUUUGUUAAGUACAUAAAAAGAACGUUCAUCGGUUCAGUCUAGAAACUCCACACAUAAUCUUUAUGAUGCAUUACCUGUUAUUAUAAUGUGUAACUAAAUGCCAAUUAAAUAACACUAAAACAAGCAAAA
rnacentral:lncRNA from 1 species